rnacentral:rRNA from 1 species
UACAGAGGUCCCAAGCGUUUGUUCGGAUUCACUGGGCGUAAAGGGUGCGUAGGUGGCCAGGUAAGUUUGGUGUGAAAGCUCGGAGCUUAACUCCGAAAAGUCAUUGAAUACUAUCUGGCUGGAGGGUCGGAGGGGAGACUGGAAUUCUCGGUGUAGCAGUGAAAUGCGUAGAUAUCGAGAGGAACACCAGUGGCGAAGGCGAGUCUCUGGACGACUCCUGACACUGAGGCACGAAAGCUAAGGGGAGCAA